UACAUUAAUGAUGCCUGCCAACGAUUCUGAAUUGUGUACAGUCUGUAAUAUUUCUUCUUCAAGGGACCAGUCAAGUCGAUGUGACAGUUCCCUGUUGGCCCACUACCAUCUGCCCCGCAUGGUGCGCGACACCAGACACUGGAGCAGCUGGGUCGCCACUCAUCAACGCAGAGUGAAACAGUGCUUUGACCGCUCCCACAGGGUUAAAAGCCCCACACUUGCUCCACUGGACUGAUUGAGGAUCCGCAGGCCUACCCGGGGCCACAAGCUCAAGUCAUUCUGUUCUGCCCCACUGCAAGUGACUGAGCAGCUGGGCCCCGCCAUUUUAUGCCGUGUUCGCAAGGUGCCGCCGCCUACUGCAACAGACCUGGAGGCGACCGGCCCGUACAAGGGCCCAUCCAGGCCAUCUCAGGGACUAUGUACUCUGACAAUAUGAAUGAUGUUCCUGGGUCUCCCCUGGGGAGGGGGGAAAUGUUAUGUCUGCUCUGUUGCCUGUGCUGAUAUUUCAUAUUUCCUGAUGCUACUUGAAGACGACAUAAUAACAUUUGUGCAGGGCAUGCUGGGAUGCGAGUUCAGUGAAAUAAACGUCUGGUAUGGCUAGACUUUGACA